rnacentral:lncRNA from 1 species
GCAGAGGCGCGGAAGGAGUCAUGGGGCGCGUACGCCAGGGAAGAAUACAAGGUGUGGAUUAAUGAGUACGAUCACUCCAAGCCCAUCCAGGGGCAGCAGAAGAAGCCCUUUGAGGAGCACUGGAGGAAGCACACCCUGUCCUAUGUGGACGUCAGCACUGGGAAGGUCACCCUGGAAUAUAGACCCGUAAUUGACAAAACUUUGAAUGAGGCUGACUGUGCCGCCAUCCCCCCAGCCAUUCACUCCUGCUGAUGAGACAAGAUGCGGUGAUGACAGAAUCAGCUUUUUGCACAGCCAGAGAACAACACAUCACACACAGGAAACAGUUGUGCUCAUGUGAUGGGGGCCUCAGCACUAGGAAGGAGUGGACUAUUGGCGCAUGUAGCAGCUUGAAUAAAUCUGAAAGUCACUACACUGCGUAAGAGAAGCCAAAUAAAAAAGUUCAUGCUGUGUACAGAGGGUGUUGAGAAUGCCUCCUACGUGACGGAAAGCAGAUCCGUGGUUCCCUGCAGACCGGCAGGAGCAGAUUCCAAAGGCACAGGAAGAAGCUUGCAGUACAAAGAUAAAAAUCUAAAGUGGUUGCUGUGGAGGACAGGGGUCAGUGGUGGAAGUGAGACUGAAAUGGACUCUGAAGUAAUAUCUGGACUUUGAAAUUGCAGCUGCUCCCAACCCCAGCAACUUUGCUAUCUUAGAACGGAUCACCAGUGAAAGAGGGGAAGUUGCUACUGUGAUGAAUUCUGCCAUGUGGUACC